UCUUAAAUUUUGUGAUGGUUAAAUUUUUUAACCUGCAGCCCAGUAAAUUAGGAAAUUACCAUUUACCUAAUUAAAUUAAAAAAAAAGAGAGGGAGGAGAAAUAACGAUAAAAUUCUAUUUCAUUCAAACUGAACGAACUCUCUUUUCCCCUUCGGCUCGAGUCAGCCUCAAUCCGGAGGCAAAAUUGUUCGGCCACGACGGACCGCCGUCUUCAGAACACCGUAUGACCGCCCCACUCCAAGAGAUCCUUCUCAGCAAAACCCUAGUUGGAUCUCCAAGCUGGUUUACAAACCUGCCCGCAUAAUUGCCUCCGGCGCCGGAAAAAUCAUUUCUUCCGUCGUCUUCUCUGAAUCUUCCUCAUCGUCUUCAGAGGACGAGGAUUCAUCUUCAGAUUAUUGAGGAUGUUGAGAACAACAUUACCGAUGAGAAUUGAUUCAGCUCUUUGGGUCUAGUGGUUGGUACUGAGUCUACCUUUUAACCGUGACGAGCUUCUUUUAGCAUGUUUCUAUGGUUUUGAUGGAAAAAAGGACCUUGUGAAUGCCCAGGAAUCAACUUUCCACAAACUCAGUUCUAAGCGUGUAAUUGAGCAGCUUCUCAUGCAAGAAACAUUCGCAAGGGAAGAGGGUGAUAGAUUAAUAGACAUCAUCAAGGAAAGGGUCAGUGUUCCUACUUCUAAUGAGGGGAUGCAUAAUGGAUUGACAAAUGAUGUGAAUGUGGGUGAAAUGUCCAGUAAAGCUGUCAUGGAAGCAAAAAGAUGGUUGGAGGAGAAGAAAUCAGCAAGUCUAAAGCAACUGAAGAUGGUGCUGGAUCGCCUGUGGACGUGGCCAAGUCAUACAUGCGAGCUCGUCUGCCAUGGGGAUCUCCGUCUGCGAACAAUUCAAUUCAGAGUUUUGGUCACCAUCACCAGCAGGGACACCACUUCCUUAUAGUUCUGGAACCUUAUCCUCUUCCUUAUAGUUCUGGAACCUUAUCCUCUUCCAAGGAACAAUGGCUGUCUCAGAGUUAUGUAUAUGCAUUCUGACUUUUGGUAUCAAAAUGCAGCUGAAAAGGAGAUCUCGUUCUAAUCCGUCAUGGAAUAUUCAAGAUGAAAUUCGUAAAGUCAGAGCUAAAGCAACAGAGGAAAUGCUUAAAAACUGUAUCCCCCAGUAGUGUAGCAUCAUUAUAAGUUUAUAACCUAAACAAAAGCCCCCCCUAUGUUCUACCAAAUUCAACCAUACCGACCUCUGAGCAAAAUCAGACUACGGAAGCUAAUCAAGCCGUUGAAGAUACCAAUACCGCUCCUCAAAGUGGAACCGGUCUUGAUGACUCAAAUGGAGACACCACAAUUGCUAUGUUGGCUCUUGGAGCAGAUAUGGACAACUGGGAGCUUCUGCAUCCCAAAAGAUGUAUUUGAAACAUCAAAAGAAGCUGAUGAAAUAGGCGCGGCACGUGGAGUUAGUGUCGAACAGUGUCUCUCUGUUUAUUUAUUUUCUGAAUCUUUAAUAUUCAUGUUGUAAGUUUGACACUUGUUUUAGCUGACAAAGCUUUACGGUAUGCAGUUUCCACAAAUAUUUAAAAAAAACUUUUACUUGACCAAAAAGCCAUAAACUGUCACUUCAGUUAAAAAUAUAAUUACUUUUUAACAGAAAUUCUGACAUGAUCCGAUAUAGUAGAACCUUAGUUUCAGUAGUAGAGGAGAGAUUACUUUCAGAUCAGAAGACUGCAAACGGAUUCAAUCUGUUGUGACGACCAGUUUAUUAUGUCAACUUGGUUUAAGUACAAAAAACCAGUACGAGCAAAAAAACUCAAUAAGCAAAACUUUUUCAAGACAGAGAGAGAGAAAGGACAUAACAGAACACACAAUAAAUAAAAAAACAGAGGGUAAAGAAAAGGAAGAAGAAAACGAACAAAACCCAAUAAGCAACGAUCGAAGAAGCCUUCAGACAUUCAAAUCUAAAGGCAAUAUGAACAAGCCCACGAAGAUUUAAUCAGACAGAGAGAUCAUUGGUUUGGUCGGAAGAAAUAAAGUUACUUCUUUUGUUCGGUUUUUGUUGUCAAUUUGUCUGAAUUCUCUGGUCAAUCAUAGCCAAAAAAAGGUUGCUUUUUUU